rnacentral:rRNA from 1 species
CGCUAGCUACAGGCUUAACACAUGCAAGUCGAGGGGCAUCAGGAAGAAAGCUUGCUUUCUUUGCUGGCGACCGGCGCACGGGUGAGUAACACGUAUCCAACCUGCCCUUUACUCGGGGAUAGCCUUUCGAAAGAAAGAUUAAUACCCGAUGGCAUAAUGAUUCCGCAUGGUUUCAUUAUUAAAGGAUUCCGGUAAAGGAUGGGGAUGCGUUCCAUUAGGUUGUUGGUGAGGUAACGGCUCACCAAGCCUUCGAUGGAUAGGGGUUCUGAGAGGAAGGUCCCCCACAUUGGAACUGAGACACGGUCCAAACUCCUACGGGAGGCAGCAGUGAGGAAUAUUGGUCAAUGGGCGCUAGCCUGAACCAGCCAAGUAGCGUGAAGGAUGAAGGCUCUAUGGGUCGUAAACUUCUUUUAUAUAAGAAUAAAGUGCAGUAUGUAUACUGUUUUGUAUGUAUUAUAUGAAUAAGGAUCGGCUAACUCCGUGCCAGCAGCCGCGGUAAUACGGAGGAUCCGAGCGUUAUCCGGAUUUAUUGGGUUUAAAGGGAGCGUAGGUGGACUGGUAAGUCAGUUGUGAAAGUUUGCGGCUCAACCGUAAAAUUGCAGUUGAUACUGUCAGUCUUGAGUACAGUAGAGGUGGGCGGAAUUCGUGGUGUAGCGGUGAAAUGCUUAGAUAUCACGAAGAACUCCGAUUGCGAAGGCAGCUCACUGGACUGCAACUGACACUGAUGCUCGAAAGUGUGGGUAUCAAACAGGAUUAGAUACCCUGGUAGUCCACACAGUAAACGAUGAAUACUCGCUGUUUGCGAUAUACAGUAAGCGGCCAAGCGAAAGCAUUAAGUAUUCCACCUGGGGAGUACGCCGGCAACGGUGAAACUCAAAGGAAUUGACGGGGGCCCGCACAAGCGGAGGAACAUGUGGUUUAAUUCGAUGAUACGCGAGGAACCUUACCCGGGCUUAAAUUGCAGUGGAAUGAUGUGGAAACAUGUCAGUGAGCAAUCACCGCUGUGAAGGUGCUGCAUGGUUGUCGUCAGCUCGUGCCGUGAGGUGUCGGCUUAAGUGCCAUAACGAGCGCAACCCUUAUCUUUAGUUACUAACAGGUUAUGCUGAGGACUCUAGAGAGACUGCCGUCGUAAGAUGUGAGGAAGGUGGGGAUGACGUCAAAUCAGCACGGCCCUUACGUCCGGGGCUACACACGUGUUACAAUGGGGGGUACAGAAGGCAGCUAGCGGGUGACCGUAUGCUAAUCCCAAAAGCCUCUCUCAGUUCGGAUCGAAGUCUGCAACCCGACUUCGUGAAGCUGGAUUCGCUAGUAAUCGCGCAUCAGCCACGGCGCGGUGAAUACGUUCCCGGGCCUUGUACACACCGCCCGUCAAGCCAUGGGAGCCGGGGGUACCUGAAGUACGUAACCGCAAGGAUCGUCCUAGGGUAAAACUGGAA